GACGAACCUGACAAACGUUAUUCGGAAUUACUGGGCUUAAAGGGUGCGUAGGCGGCGCGACAAGUUGGGUGUGAAAUCCCUCGGCUUAACCGAGGAACUGCGCUCAAUACUGUCGUGCUCGAGGGAGACAGGGGUGAGCGGAACUUAGGGUGGAGCGGUGAAAUGCGUUGAUAUCCUAAGGAACACCGGUAGCGAAAGCGGCUCACUGGGUCUUUUCUGACGCUGAGGCACGAAAGCUAGGGUAGCGAACGGG
rnacentral:rRNA from 1 species